rnacentral:rRNA from 1 species
AUUGAACGCUGGCGGCAGGCCUAACACAUGCAAGUCGAACGAGUGGCGGACGGGUGAGUAGUGUCUGAGAAACUGCCUGAUGGAGGGGGCUAACUACUGGAAACGGAAGCUAAUACCGCAUACCAUCAGAUGUGCCCAGAGGGGAUUAGCUUGUUGGUGGGGUAACGGCUCACCAAGGCGACGAUCCCUAGCGGGUCGGAGAGGAUGACAAGCAAAACUGGAACUGAGACACGGUCCAGACUCCUACGGGAGGCAGCAGUGGGGAAUAUUGCACAAUGGGCGCAAGCCUGAUGCAGCCAUGCCGCGUGUAUGAAGAAGGCCUUCGGGUUGUAAAGUACUUUCAGCGGGGAGGCGUUACCCGCAGAAGAAGCACCGGCUAACUCCGUGCCAGCAGCCGCGGUAAUAC